GGGGGGGGGGGGGGGGGGGCGGGGGGCGGGGGGGGCGGGGGGGGGGGGCGGGCUUUGGUGGGGUGCUCGAGUGGCGAACGGGUGAGUAACACGUGAGUAACCUGCCCUUGACUUUGGGAUAACUUCAGGAAACUGGGGCUAAUACCGGAUAGGAGCUCCUGCUGCAUGGUGGGGGUUGGAAAGUUUCGGCGGUUGGGGAUGGACUCGCGGCUUAUCAGCUUGUUGGUGGGGUAGUGGCUUACCAAGGCUUUGACGGGUAGCCGGCCUGAGAGGGUGACCGGCCACAUUGGGACUGAGAGACGGCCCAGACUCCUACGGGAGGCAGCAGUGGGGAAUAUUGCACGAUGGGCGGAAGCCUGAUGCAGCAACGCCGCGUGCGGGAUGACGGCCUUCGGGUUGUAAACCGCUUUCGCCUGUGACGAAGCGUGAGUGACGGUAAUGGGUAAAGAAGCACCGGCUAACUACGUG
rnacentral:rRNA from 1 species